rnacentral:rRNA from 1 species
GUUUAGAACGUCGUGAGACAGUUCGGUCCCUAUCUGCCGUGGGCGUUGGAGAAUUGCGGGGCGCUGUUCCUAGUACGAGAGGACCGGAAUGGACGGACCGCUGGUGUACCGGUUGUGUCGCCAGACGCACCGCCGGGUAGCUACGUCCGGACGGGAUAACCGCUGAAAGCAUCUAAGCGGGAAGCCUCCCCCAAGAUUAGUUCUCCCGCGUCCUUGAGACGCUUGAAGGUCCGUGGCAGACCACCACGUGGAUAGGCGAGGCGGUGGACGCGCCGUAAGGCGUGCAGCCGACCCGUACUAAUCGACCGUGCGGCUUGACCCG